rnacentral:rRNA from 1 species
CACGUAAGGGGCGAGCGUUGUUCGGAAUUAUUGGGCGUAAAGGGCGUGUAGGCGGUCUGGUAAGUCUGGUGUGUAAGGCUACGGCUUAACCGUAGUUGUGCGCUGGAAACUGCCGGGCUAGAGUCCGGGAGGGGGAGGUAGAAUUCCUGGUGUAGGGGUGAAAUCUGUAGAUAUCAGGAAGAAUACCGGUGGCGAAGGCGACCUCCUGGUCUUGGACUGACGCUGAGGCGCGAAAGCGUGGGGAGCGAACAGGAUUAGAUACCCUGGUAGUCCACGCUGUAAACGAUGUGCACUAGGUGUUGGGGCGAUGAAGCCUCGGUGCCGAAGCAAACGCGAUAAGUGCACCGCCUGGGGAGUAUGCUCGCAAGGGUGAA